UGGCGGCUGUAGCGCGGUGGUCCCACCUGACCCCAUGCCGAACUCAGAAGUGAAACGCCGUAGCGCCGAUGGUAGUGUGGGGCCUCCCCAUGCGAGAGUAGGGAACUGCCAGACA
rnacentral:rRNA from 4 species